GAGCCAAAGGAAGAACUUGGCAUUUCCAUGG
rnacentral:sRNA from 1 species